rnacentral:rRNA from 1 species
GACGAACGCUGGCGGCGUGCUUAACACAUGCAAGUCGAGCGGAAAGGCCACUUCGGUGGUACUCGAGCGGCGAACGGGUGAGUAACACGUGAGUAAUCUGCCCUUGGCUUCGGGAUAGCCACCGGAAACGGUGAUUAAUACCGGAUACGACCACUCUAGGCAUCUAGUGGUGGUGGAAAGGUUUUCGGCCAGGGAUGUGCUCGCGGCCUAUCAGCUUGAUGGUGAGGUAAUGGCUCACCAUGGCUUCGACGGGUAGCCGGCCUGAGAGGGUGACCGGUCACACUGGGACUGAGACACGGCCCAGACUCCUACGGGAGGCAGCAGUGGGGAAUAUUGGACAAUGGGCGGAAGCCUGAUCCAGCAACGCCGCGUGAGGGAUGACGGCCUUCGGGUUGUAAACCUCUUUCGGUAGGGACGAAGCGCAAGUGACGGUACCUACUAAAGAAGCACCGGCCAACUACGUGCCAGCCGCCGCGGUAAAAC